CUGCAUGGCAGAAUGGGGUUGGACUGGAUGGCCCUUGUGGUCUCUUCCAACUCUAUGAUUCUAGGACACAGGACACUGCCUGUCACUAAUGCUGAACGUAAAUUCAAAUUCAUAUCUCACUUAUGUCUGUUCAUUUAUUUGGAGUUGAAGGGGGGGAGUGCUAUUCUUUUUUUUUUUUUUUUCAGGCACCAAAAUGUCUUAGACUGGCCUUGUCUGACAUUUUUAACACUUCAGCUAAUGGCUGGAGGAAAUCUUGUUAGUCAGUUGCAGCAAAACAAGAGAGGCCAUGGCAUAUUAUAGACUAGAAAACUGCUCUGGCGUAAGCUUCCAUUCAUGUCCCUCAAAUGCAUGAAGUAUUAGUCUCAGAUGGGCUGGUUGUUGUUGUCUAUGACUUAUGGUGACCCCAAGACACGGGGCUUUCUUAGCAAGAUUUGUUCAAAGGUUUGCCAUUGCCUUCCCCUGAGGCUGAGAGAGUGUGACUUGCCCAGUGGGUUUCAUGGCCAAGCUGGGAAUUUAACGCUGAUCUCCAAAGUCAUAGCCCAAUGCUCAAACCACUACACCACACUAGCUCUCAAGUAUAUAUGUACACACUCACAUGUGCACACAUUGAGAGAAGAGGAAUUGUAAAGUGGCUUGAAACAAAACUGAAAUGCAGAAAAUACAGAAAGUAAUAAUUAGCUAAAUUAGCUUGGCUAAAGUGCUUUUUCAUUGCUAACUUUACUCUAUGUUAUGGAUAACAAAGGUGAACUAUAGCUUGCACUGUACUUAGGGGAGGGAUGAUAGGGUGUCCUUUGGCACCAGGCAGCUGUUGUUUGCAGCAGACAUGAAGGUCAGACUGAAUAGUUCUGGUAUCUAAGCAUGGCCUGUCAAAUAAAACAUUAUUUACACAAUUAUACAGCCUCAAGUAGGGUUUAACAUUAUUGUGUGCCAGGGCAGAGUUUUGAGCUGCCUGGGAUGUACUAUCAAAAUGGCUAACAGGACGAAUAUAUCCGAUUAUAUUUGGUCUUAUGAAUAUUACAUGGAUUAUUUAGAUCCCAUUCCAGUUGAUGCAAGCAAGCUAAAGGCCAACAGAUAUUCAAUUGUCAUUGCUUUUUGGAUUGGGCUAGCUUCUUUUGUGGCAUUUCUCUUCUUGAUUUUGUUCUACAUGUCUCAAUCUGAUUCUACAAUUAAGAAUGGAAGACUAGAGAAAAGAUAUCCAAGGAAUUAUUCAAAAAAAUAUCCAUCAAAAUCUUGGAACAAACCAUGAUAGACCAACUUUAGAUGAUUCUCAAGUUGAAGAAAUUGAAAGCAUCUGUACAAACAGUAGGUCACCAUGUCAUAAUCUGAACAAUAUGGUUUGAGCCUGCAUCUCAACUAAAUAUACACAACAAUCUAUUACACCAUAGGUUGACUAGAGGGAGCUUCCUUAGGAACAUGUAAUCAAUUUAGAAUACUUGUUUAAUAACAAAAAUUGCUAAAUGAACACAAUCAAAUAGUUACCUCAGAUGUAAUGUACAGUGAAAUGACUAUUUUCAAAAUUGAAUCAGAAACAGAGGGUUCAGAAUAAGUAUAUCAGUAAUCACUAAUCGCUCACAGAAGAGAUAUUAGCAAUUUCUUAGGUAUUUGCACAAUUGUAACUUAAGACAUUGUUUUAAAGUUUUGUAUAAUGUAAUUUGUACAUGGCAGACUAUCCUAGAAAUAGUUGAUUGUACCUUCCAAUUUAUUUUCAAAACAUAAUACCUACCAUUAAAGAAAAAAAUGUUGAUGGGGAUUUUUUUUUUACUGGAACAUGCUGCAUUUUCCCUUGGUUGUUAACAUCUUAAUUUUUAAAUUUACUUUUAAUUUUAAUAUAGUAGUUUCAUUGCUUUUAAUAUUGCUUUUAGUUGUAUUCUGAAAUAUGUAAAUAAAUGAUCCAUGUGUUGUUCUGGACUUUUGUAAAAACAUGUGUUUAGUAUAGAAAUUAACGUAAGUAUUGUCACCUGAAAACUCAUGCAGCCCCUUCAGUGACAAUUCAUGCCCAUUAUGCAAGGUUCCCAAUUCAUAUGCUGAGAGAUUCUUUACAGCACUUUAUUAAAUCUUGCAAGAUUGAGUACAAACGCCUGAAGAGUGUGAAGAGUUACAGUAUGGUUAUGUGAUAUAUAGUAUACAGUACGAAAUAAGUGAUCUGUUGAGAGCAGAUAGAGCACAGA